rnacentral:rRNA from 1 species
CAUGUAGGCGGUUCUGAAAGCUUGGUGUGAAAUUCCGGGGCUCAACUCCGGAACUGCAUUGAGAACUGCAGGACUAGAAUUACUGAAGGGUAGCUAGAAUUCCAAGUGUAGGGGUGAAAUCUGUAGAUAUUUGGAAGAAUACCAAUGGCGAAGGCAAGCUACUGGCAGAUAAUUGACGCUGAGGUGCGAAGGUGCGGGGAGCAAACA